AUGAUCUCCAUCGACCCCAACAUGGUCGUCAUCCUGGCCGCCCUCCUCUGCGCGCUCGUCUGCCUCGCCGGCCUCGCCCUCGUCGCGCGCUGCACCUGCCGUCAUGCCCGCCGCUCUUCACCGUUCGCCGGCAAUAGCAUCACCAUGACCUUGCCUCUUCCUCCCCGAGGCCUGAAGAAGAAGGCCAUCGACGCGCUCCCCGUCACAGCAGUGAAAGAAGGGCAUCAGCUGGAGGAGCAGUGCGCCAUCUGCCUGGCCGACCUGGCCGCCGGGGAGGAGCUCCGGGUGCUGCCGCGGUGCGGCCACUCCUUCCACGUCGCCUGCGUCGACGCCUGGCUCCGUGCUCACGCCACCUGCCCCUCCUGCCGCGCCACCAUCGUCGACUCGUCAACCUCCUCGUCCUCACCGCCAUCACCGCCGCUCCCGGCCCCGGGCCGGUGCCGGAGGUGCGGAGCGGCCUGUGACGGCGACAGCGUGGCCACUUCUGCUUCUGCUGAUACGGACGGGAGCAGCUUCUUGCCGUAG
rnacentral:rRNA from 1 species